ncrna:Psychroserpens burtonensis DSM 12212 S15-Flavobacteria ribosomal protein leader
UAUAUUUGCAGCUUGAAAGAAUGACUUUCAACGUACAUAAAAAUCAUUUACAAUAAUAUUAGCAUG